ACCUCAACUUGUCUCUUUCACUUUCUCCGUUUUGCUGAAAAACCACCCAACCAAUAAACGCUUUUGGUUUGAUUUGAAGAAAAAUUUUACCCAUAAAGGAUAGCAUUUCUUGGUGAGUUCUUCGGAUCUUACAUUUGGGGUUUUCUUUUGUUCAAAUAUGGGGUUUUGUGAUCGUGGUUUUCCUUUUCUUUUUUUCUUUUUUUUUUUUAAAUUUUUUUAUUUGAGAUUUUGUUUGGGUUCUCUGUUUUCAGAUGAGUUUUGCAUCCCUGUAAACCUAGAUUUCUCGGCGUUAUGUGGAAGGUCAUAAAAUUGGUUUCCAAGGUUUUUUUUCUUCCUGAUCUUGCAAUUGCUGAUGCAAGGGUUUCAGAGUAUUUCUCAAUCUCUCCUUACACAGGUAACUAAAUCUCACUUCUUCUCAAGUACCCAGAAGCCAAAUAUUUAAUUUUUCACUGUACUUAAUCUCUUUUAGCAACCUCCAGUUGUCCUCUGCUUUUCUCACUCUCCAGUGUUCAUCAACACCAACAGGUCUCUCUCUACCUCUACCUCUCUCUUUCUCUCUCUAUAUCUCCGAUAUGUUUAUACAUGUCGUUGUGUAUCUAUAUAUCAGGUUGAAAAAGUUGUUAAUUUGAUUAAUUUUGUUAGGGAGAUUAUUUGUUUUGGUGAUGGAUUUGUGGGUUUUAAUCGUGUUUUGGAUAUACUAACAAUUUUGUUUUGCAGUAAUUGCAAUGUGUUGUCCACGAUUUGCCUGGUAAAACCAGAUUUUGCGUGUGGGUUUAUUCGUAGACGAGUCUAUGAUUUUUCAGGAGUUGCAACGUUGUUGGUAAGGCUUGAGCAUUUUCAUCAUAUUAGCUAUUCCGUACAUCAGUCCAAUAUGUUCUUAUCCCUUGCACUCCGUUGUUUAUGUUUGGAAUUUGUGAUUAGAAAUUAGAGAAUUAACUUCUUGAUAAUUGCAUGUGUUUUUGCCCCCUCAUGAUAUCAUGAGAUCUAAUGAGAUUGUUUGCGAUCUGGUUAAAUACAUAGUAAUAAGGACAAUAGUUCAUAUUUUUAAGGAAGGUUAAUGGUUAUGGGUUUUUACAUUUAUUGUUAACAACUAUAAUUGUUAUGGUUGAUUAUCGUUCUUUUAGUCUUACUAGGUUUCUUUGUUCAAUGGUUUGGUCCAUCUUAUUAAGUUUCUCACCAGAGAUCUCUGCUAGCACUGCUCUUCUCUUGGACCAGAAGUUGGUGGCGAUUCAAAACCCAUUAACUCGGAUGAGAAUUAAGAGUAAUUUGAAACUAGACAGCAAGGAAUUGCAAGUGGGUAAUGAUAAUGAUAAUGGUGAGGAUAAUGAUGAUGACACAAAUCCGCUAUUUUGCAUAUGGUUUUGAAGAUUGAUUUUUUUUUUUUUUUAUUUUGAUUUUUCUUUUUUGUAUUUUUUAGCAGGUGUUGUUUUGGUUUUUCAUUCCUUAUCAUCGCUA